rnacentral:lncRNA from 1 species
CGUCACUCUCAUAAUGAAGCUAUCACAGAUCUAAUCAAUUAGAACAUUGGGCACCAAUUCCAUCUUGAGGCGAGAUUCUGCGCUGCGCCUCUUGGUGGCUCAGCCCAGGGAGGAAAGUGGCUUUGUAAAUUCUACGUGAUUCGAGUUACAUGA